UGCUACAAGCAUAGCCACGGGGUAGAAACUCCGCGCUAUCUGGGUCUACGGAAUAAGAGUUCCAUUUUGAAUCCGUGAUGGCGUACAUGGCCAUCAAGUUCCCGCUUGAACGUUCGAUUCCCUCCCUGGAAGAUGAUGUCACAAGAAAUGGACAUUAGUACCCGAUGGAAGCCUCGGACCAUAUACACAUGGGAGACAGUAUUCCUUCCAAAGUAUCUCCUUUGGCGACUUCUUACGGAAUGGUGUCCAAAGUUUUUCCAUCGAGGGGCCGCCAACAUUUUGCACAUGAAAGACACCGUAAUAGGACCAAUGACAAAAUGAAAAUGACCCCCGGCUCGCAAUUUGGACAAGGAGGAAAUACUACUAUCACCAGUAGGGAUGGGUACCCAAUCCGGCACAGAUUCACAUAAAAUCCAAUGCCACCUUACAGUACCCGGGUUGUGGGUGACGUGAUGUCCGGUUUCCGACUCUUGGCACUUCGGCACUUGGCGAUCACUCCAGCAGCACCGAGAGUGGACUACCUCCAGGUAAUGUUACAAUUUCUAAUGCCAACAAAGCAAUUGACUCAAAAAACGCUAGGUCUCCACUUUUCCCAAAAUGUGCUAGCUUGAUGCUAAUAUAUGUUGGCUUUGCUAUUGACAUGCCACUGAUUAGCAUUAGCCAUUUUACAUGGCGAUUUCAGCACCUCCAAAGUUGUUAUUGAAAAUUACAACUAAGAUGCACGUUACAAUCAAACAGUUGGUGUGUAAUACACACAAUACUUACAGUAUUGAUACUUUUUAAGGCGCAACAAAACACUACAGCCAUCUAACGUCUUGGACUUGCAACUGUAAUUGCAACUUUAUGUCAGAAUCCGAUGUAUUGGCCAAGUAUGUUAUUUGACUUGAUAGACUGUGCUCUCUUUGUUCAAUGCAAGAAACAUAGAAAAUCGCAACA